GGAGGUAAAAGUCGUAACAAGGUUUCCGUAGGUUAACCUGCGGAAGGAUCAUUAUUGUAUAACCGAGGUGCGAGGGCUGUCGCUGACCCGAAAGGUCGUGCACGCCCGAGUGCCCUCACACACACCCAUCUCACCCCUAUGUGCACCACCGCGUGGGUCCCCCUUUGGCUUGUUCGGAGGGGGGCUUACGUUUUCACACAAACUUUGUAUGCAGUGUAGAAUGUAUUUUUUGUUUUUGCGAUCACGCAAUCAAUACAACUUUCAACAACGGAUCUCUUGGCUCUC
rnacentral:misc_RNA from 1 species